rnacentral:rRNA from 1 species
AUUGAACGCUGGCGGCAUGCCUUACACAUGCAAGUCGAAUGGCAGCACGGGAGCAAUCCUGGUGGCGAGUGGCGAACGGGUGAGUAAUAUAUCGGAACGUGCCCAAUCGUGGGGGAUAACGUAGCGAAAGCUACGCUAAUACCGCAUACGAUCUAUGGAUGAAAGCGGGGGAUCGCAAGACCUCGCGCGAUUGGAGCGGCCGAUAUCAGAUUAGGUAGUUGGUGGGGUAAAAGCCUACCAAGCCUUCGAUCUGUAGCUGGUCUGAGAGGACGACCAGCCACACUGGAACUGAGACACGGUCCAGACUCCUACGGGAGGCAGCAGUGGGGAAUUUUGGACAAUGGGCGCAAGCCUGAUCCAGCAAUGCCGCGUGCAGGAUGAAGGCCUUCGGGUUGUAAACUGCUUUUGUACGGAACGAAACGGUUCUUUCUAAUAAAGAGGGCUAAUGACGGUACCGUAAGAAUAAGCACCGGCUAACUACGUGCCAGCAGCCGCGGUAAUACGUAGGGUGCGAGCGUUAAUCGGAAUUACUGGGCGUAAAGCGUGCGCAGGCGGUUAUGUAAGACAGAUGUGAAAUCCCCGGGCUCAACCUGGGACCUGCAUUUGUGACUGCAUAGCUAGAGUACGGUAGAGGGGGAUGGAAUUCCGCGUGUAGCAGUGAAAUGCGUAGAUAUGCGGAGGAACACCGAUGGCGACGCAAUCCCCUGGACCUGUACUGACGCUCAUGCACGAAAGCGUGGGGAGCAAACAGGAUUAGAUACCCUGGUAGUCCACGCCCUAAACGAUGUCAACUAGGUGUUGGGUGGGUAAAACCAUUUAGUACCGGAGCUAACGCGUGAAGUUGACCGCCUGGGGAGUACGCGCAAGUUAAAACUCAAAGGAAUGACGGG